CACGCCCCCGACGCGGGCGAUGCGCUCGGCGGUUGACACUCGCCGCCGGGUGACAGCGGUUCGGUGCCCCUGGAGCGCGU
rnacentral:tRNA from 2 species